CGAUGUAAUCGAACUUAUCUGUGUUGUCAAGAAUUGGCCGUCUGGAUUCCUUUCGAUCCAAUAUCAUUCUCAAUGUUGUCAAUCAAAACAACGAUGGGUUCUAGAAGCAUACACCAAAAUAAAUGGGAUCGAAGUCAGCAGAAGCGACUAAUAUCGCCGGAAGAUAGUUACUCCAUCGUUUGAUCUACUUUGAAGCAAAGCAUGGACUACCCAACACAUAACUGUUUGUGUUUUACUUAAUCCAAUUCCAAAUUUAGAUUGUGCUCUCACAUAGGACAAUGCUUAUCAAGGAAAUUGGAAAUUACAGCUUCUUUAUGCAGUGUUAACUUGAGUGACGGUAAACAAUAAUUCUUACGGGUGUGAAGAUUGGAAGAAGCUAAUACUUCGACUCAUGAAACUUUAGGAUAAUUUCAUGAAUAUACUCUUCAAGGUAAGUUCGUGUAACAAUCUUGCUCUUCAAAUGGAUAAGUAUAUGUCAGUUUAUAUCAUCAUGAUAGUCUAAUGUAGUAGUUGACUGGAUUACAAAUAUAAUUAAGAGUAUUGCAAUGAAUUUUAUUGAUGAUGAGUUUCAUGCCUAUUUAGGACAAUAAUGAGACAGUGAUUGUAGCAUUUUUUGGAAAAGGUAGAUGAAAUACAAUAAAUAGCAAGGUUGAGAGAAAUCUCAUUCUUCCA